UUCCAGCUCCAAUAGCGUAUAUUAAAGUUGUUGCAGUUAAAAAGCUCGUAGUUGAAUUUCGGGGUUAGUAGGUUGGUCAUGCCUCCGGUAUGUACUGAUCUCACUGAUUCCUUCUUCCUUAUGAACCGUAAUGCCAUUAAUUUGGUGUUGCGGGGAAUUUGGACUGUUACUUUGAAAAAAUUAGAGUGUUUAAAGCAGGCUAACGCUUGAAUACAUUAGCAUGGAAUAAUGAAAUAGGACGUUCGAUCUUAUUUUGUUGGUUUCUAGGAUUGACGUAAUGAUUAAUAGGGAUAGUUGGGGGCAUUAGUAUUCAAUUGUCAGAGGUGAAAUUCUUGGAUUUAUUGAAGACUAACUACUGCGAAAGCAUUUGCCAAGGAUGUUUUCAUUGAUCAAGAACGAAAGUUAGGGGAUCGAAGACGAUCAGAUACCGUCGUAGUCUUAACCAUAAACUAUGCGACUAGGGAUCGG
rnacentral:rRNA from 1 species